UACGAAGGGUGCAAGCGUUACUCGGAAUUACUGGGCGUAAAGCGUGCGUAGGUGGUUCGUUAAGUCUGAUGUGAAAGCCCUGGGCUCAACCUGGGAAUGGCAUUGGAAACUGGCGACCUAGAGUGCGGUAGAGGGUAGUGGAAUUCCCGGUGUAGCAGUGAAAUGCGUAGAGAUCGGGAGGAACAUCUGUGGCGAAGGCGACCGCCUGGACCAGCACUGACACUGAGGCACGAAAGCGUGGGGAGCAAACAGG
rnacentral:rRNA from 1 species